CAGAGUUGCAAAACUCCCACAAACCAUCGCGAACCUUACCCGUACGGUUGCCUCGGCGCUGGCGGUCCUUCGGGACCCUCGGGCCUCCCGCUCGCGGGAGGCUGCCCGCCGGAGUGCCGAAGCCAAACUCUUGAUAUUCUAUGUCUCUCUGAGUAAACUUUUAAAUAAGUCA
rnacentral:misc_RNA from 1 species